CCAGCAGCCGCGGUAAUUCCAGCUCCAAUAGCGUAUAUUAAAGUUGUUGCGGUUAAAAAGCUCGUAGUUGGAUUUCUGCUGAGAACGACCGGUCCGCCCUCUGGGUGUGUAUCUGGCUCUUCCUUGGCAUCUUCUUGGUGAACGUUGCUGCACUUGACUGUGUGGAGCGCUACCCAGGACUUUUACUUUGAGGAAAUUAGAGUGUUUCAAGCAGGCAUUUGCCCUGUAUACAUUAGCAUGGAAUAAUAAUAUAGGACUUCGGUUCUAUUUUAUUGGUUCUGGACCGAAGUAAUGAUUAAUAGGGACAGUCGGGGGCAUUCGUACUCAACAGUCAGAGGUGAAAUUCUUGGAUUUGUUGGAGACGAACUACUGCGAAAGCAUUUGCCAAGGAUGUUUUCAUUGAUCAAGAACGAAAGU
rnacentral:rRNA from 1 species